GUAACGGCGAGUGAAGCGGCAACAGCUCAAAUUUGAAAUCUGGCCCCCCGGCCCGAGUUGUAAUUUGCAGAGGAUGCUUUUGGUGAGGCACCUACCGAGUCCCCUGGAAUGGGGCGCCAUAGAGGGUGAGAGCCCCGUAUGGUAGGACGCCGAACCUCUGUAAAGCUCCUUCGACGAGUCGAGUAGUUUGGGAAUGCUGCUCUAAAUGGGAGGUAAAUUUCUUCUAAAGCUAAAUACCGGCCAGAGACCGAUAGCGCACAAGUAGAGUGAUCGAAAGAUGAAAAGCACUUUGAAAAGAGGGUUAAAAAGUACGUGAAAUUGUUGAAAGGGAAGCGCUUGUGACCAGACUUGCGCCGGGCGGAUCAUCCAGCGUUCUCGCUGGUGCACUCCGCCCGGUUCAGGCCAGCAUCGGUUUUCGCCGGGGGACAAAGGCUUCGGGAACGUGGCUCCUUUCGGGGAGUGUUAUAGCCCGUUGCGUAAUACCCCGGCGGGGACCGACGACCGCGCUUCGGCAAGGAUGCUGGCGUAAUGGUCAUCAGCGACCCGUCUUGAAACACGGACCGAGGAGUCAAGCAUUAGUGCGAGUGUUUGGGUGUAAAACCCGCACGCGUAAUGAAAGUGAACGUAGGUGAGAGCUUCGGCGCAUCAUCGACCGAUCCUGAUGUUUUCGGAAGGAUUUGAGUAGGAGCAUUAACGCUUGGACCCGAAAGAUGGUGAACUAUACUUGAAUAGGGUGAAGCCAGAGGAAACUCUGGUGGAGGCUCGCAGCGGUUCUGACGUGCAAAUCGAUCGUCAAAUUUGAGUAUAGGGGCGAAAGACUAAUCGAACCAUCUAGUAGCUGGUUC
rnacentral:rRNA from 1 species